rnacentral:rRNA from 1 species
UGCCAGCAGCCGCGGUAAUACAGAGGGUGCAAACGUUGUUCGGAAUUACUGGGCAUAAAGCGCACGUAGGCGGCCAUGUAAGUGUGAAGUGAAAUCCCACGGCUUAACCGUGGAACUGCUUUGCAUACUGCAUGGCUUGAGGACAGUAGGGGAGAGCGGAACUCUUGGUGGAGCGGUGAAAUGCGUAGAUAUCAAGAGGAACACCAACGGCGAAGGCAGCUCUCUGGUCUGUUUCUGACGCUGAGGUGCGAAAGCUAGGGUAGCGAACGGGAUUAGAUA